UUAAGCGACUAAGCGUACACGGUGGAUGCCCUGGCAGUCAGAGGCGAUGAAGGACGUGCUAAUCUGCGAAAAGCGUCGGUAAGGUGAUAUGAACCGUUAUAACCGGCGAUGUCCGAAUGGGGAAACCCAGUGCAAUUCGUCACACUAUCGUUAACUGAAUACAUAGGUUAACGAGGCGAACCGGGGGAACUGAAACAUCUAAGUACCCCGAGGAAAAGAAAUCAACCGAGAUUCCCCCAGUAGCGGCGAGCGAACGGGGAGCAGCCCAGAGUCUGAAUCAGCUUGUGUGUUAGUGGAACGGUCUGGAAAGUCCGACGGUACAGGGUGAUAGUCCCGUACACCAAAAUGCACAGGCUGUGAACUCGAAGAGUAGGGCGGGACACGUGGUAUCCUGUCUGAAUAUGGGGGGACCAUCCUCCAAGGCUAAAUACUCCUGACUGACCGAUAGUGAACCAGUACCGUGAGGGAAAGGCGAAAAGAACCCCGGCGAGGGGAGUGAAAAAGAACCUGAAACCGUGUACGUACAAGCAGUGGGAGCACCUUCGGGUGUGACUGCGUACCUUUUGUAUAAUGGGUCAGCGACUUAUAUUCUGUAGCAAGGUUAACCGUAUAGGGGAGCCGCAGGGAAACCGAGUCUUAACUGGGCGUUAAGUUGCAGGGUAUAGACCCGAAACCCGGUGAUCUAGCCAUGGGCAGGUUGAAGGUUGGGUAACACUAACUGGAGGACCGAACCGACUAAUGUUGAAAAAUUAGCGGAUGACUUGUGGCUGGGGGUGAAAGGCCAAUCAAACCGGGAGAUAGCUGGUUCUCCCCGAAAGCUAUUUAGGUAGCGCCUCGUGAACUCAUCUUCGGGGGUAGAGCACUGUUUCGGCUAGGGGGUCAUCCCGACUUACCAACCCGAUGCAAACUACGAAUACCGAAGAAUGUUAUCACGGGAGACACACGGCGGGUGCUAACGUCCGUCGUGAAGAGGGAAACAACCCAGACCGCCAGCUAAGGUCCCAAAGUCAUGGUUAAGUGGGAAACGAUGUGGGAAGGCACAGACAGCCAGGAUGUUGGCUUAGAAGCAGCCAUCAUUUAAAGAAAGCGUAAUAGCUCACUGGUCGAGUCGGCCUGCGCGGAAGAUGUAACGGGGCUAAACCAUGCACCGAAGCUGCGGCAGCGACACUAUGUGUUGUUGGGUAGGGGAGCGUUCUGUAAGCCUGCGAAGGUGACCUGUGAGGCAUGCUGGAGGUAUCAGAAGUGCGAAUGCUGACAUAAGUAACGAUAAAGCGGGUGAAAAGCCCGCUCGCCGGAAGACCAAGGGUUCCUGUCCAACGUUAAUCGGGGCAGGGUGAGUCGACCCCUAAGGCGAGGCCGAAAGGCGUAGUCGAUGGGAAACAGGUUAAUAUUCCUGUACUUGGUGUUACUGCGAAGGGGGGACGGAGAAGGCUAUGUUAGCCGGGCGACGGUUGUCCCGGUUUAAGCAUGUAGGCUGAUUAUCCAGGCAAAUCCGGAUAAUCAAGGCUGAGGUGUGAUGACGAGGCACUACGGUGCUGAAGUAACAAAUGCCCUGCUUCCAGGAAAAGCCUCUAAGCAUCAGGUAACAUUAAAUCGUACCCCAAACCGACACAGGUGGUCAGGUAGAGAAUACCAAGGCGCUUGAGAGAACUCGGGUGAAGGAACUAGGCAAAAUGGUGCCGUANCGAUUGACGUUACCCGCAGAAGAAGCACCGGCUAACUCCGUGCCAGCAGCCGCGGUAAUACGGAGGGUGCAAGCGUUAAUCGGAAUUACUGGGCGUAAAGCGCACGCAGGCGGUCUGUCAAGUCGGAUGUGAAAUCCCCGGGCUCAACCUGGGAACUGCAUUCGAAACUGGCAGGCUAGAGUCUUGUAGAGGGGGGUAGAAUUCCAGGUGUAGCGGUGAAAUGCGUAGAGAUCUGGAGGAAUACCGGUGGCGAAGGCGGCCCCCUGGACAAAGACUGACGCUCAGGUGCGAAAGCGUGGGGAGCAAACAGGAUUAGAUACCCUGGUAGUCCACGCCGUAAACGAUGUCGAUUUGGAGGUUGUGCCCUUGAGGCGUGGCUUCCGGAGCUAACGCGUUAAAUCGACCGCCUGGGGAGUACGGCCGCAAGGUUAAAACUCAAAUGAAUUGACGGGGGCCCGCACAAGCGGUGGAGCAUGUGGUUUAAUUCGAUGCAACGCGAAGAACCUUACCUGGUCUUGACAUCCACAGAACUUAGCAGAGAUGCUUUGGUGCCUUCGGGAACUGUGAGACAGGUGCUGCAUGGCUGUCGUCAGCUCGUGUUGUGAAAUGUUGGGUUAAGUCCCGCAACGAGCGCAACCCUUAUCCUU
rnacentral:rRNA from 1 species